rnacentral:rRNA from 1 species
GGGUUGUGAGGUUAAGCGACUAAGCGUACACGGUGGAUGCCCUGGCAGUCAGAGGCGAUGAAGGACGUGCUAAUCUGCGAUAAGCGCCGGUAAGGUGAUAUGAACCGUUAUAACCGGCGAUUUCCGAAUGGGGAAACCCAGUGUGAUUCGUCACACUAUCAUUAACUGAAUCCAUAGGUUAAUGAGGCGAACCGGGGGAACUGAAACAUCUAAGUACCCCGAGGAAAAGAAAUCAACCGAGAUUCCCCCAGUAGCGGCGAGCGAACGGGGAGGAGCCCAGAGCCUGAAUCAGCAUGUGUGUUAGUGGAAGCGUCUGGAAAGGCGCGCGAUACAGGGUGACAGCCCCGUACACAAAAGCGCAUGUGCUGUGAGCUCGAUGAGUAGGGCGGGACACGUGGUAUCCUGUCUGAAUAUGGGGGGACCAUCCUCCAAGGCUAAAUACUCCUGACUGACCGAUAGUGAACCAGUACCGUGAGGGAAAGGCGAAAAGAACCCCGGCGAGGGGAGUGAAAAAGAACCUGAAACCGUGUACGUACAAGCAGUGGGAGCACAGGUUUACCUGUGUGACUGCGUACCUUUUGUAUAAUGGGUCAGCGACUUAUAUUCUGUAGCAAGGUUAACCGAAUAGGGGAGCCGGAGGGAAACCGAGUCUUAAUUGGGCGUUAAGUUGCAGGGUAUAGACCCGAAACCCGGUGAUCUAGCCAUGGGCAGGUUGAAGGUUGGGUAACACUAACUGGAGGACCGAACCGACUAAUGUUGAAAAAUUAGCGGAUGACCUGUGGCUGGGGGUGAAAGGCCAAUCAAACCGGGAGAUAGCUGGUUCUCCCCGAAAGCUAUUUAGGUAGCGCCUCGUGAAUUCAUCUCCGGGGGUAGAGCACUGUUUCGGCUAGGGGGCCAUCCCGGCUUACCAACCCGAUGCAAACUGCGAAUACCGGAGAAUGUUAUCACGGGAGACACACGGCGGGUGCUAACGUCCGUCGUGAAGAGGGAAACAACCCAGACCGCCAGCUAAGGUCCCAAAGUCAUGGUUAAGUGGGAAACGAUGUGGGAAGGCCCAGACAGCCAGGAUGUUGGCUUAGAAGCAGCCAUCAUUUAAAGAAAGCGUAAUAGCUCACUGGUCGAGUCGGCCUGCGCGGAAGAUGUAACGGGGCUAAACCAUGCACCGAAGCUGCGGCAGCGACACUCAGGUGUUGUUGGGUAGGGGAGCGUUCUGUAAGCCUGUGAAGGUGGCCUGUGAGGG